CCGACCAGCCGCAGGCUUCUUGGUCGCGCCCGGGUCUCUGCGCCCCCAACCACCGCGCCGCCCCAGACCUCCGCCAAGCUUCUCCACUCGCCCAGGUCUCCAUGCCGCUCUGCCAGAGGUGCCCCGAUUCCGUCGCCGGCCCUCCUACCCGACCUCCGCCUAGGCUUCCCCGCCGCCCAAUCGCCCUGGCCUGUGCGCCUCCCUGCCAGAGGGCCCCCAAUUCCGGCGACGCCCUCGACCUUCGUGCGGAGCGCGCGGCCCGACCGCCGCUGGCCCCCUCGCUCCUCCGACCCCCGACCGCCGCCGGCCCCCUUCUCCUCCUUCCCCGGCUGCCGCCGACCCCCUUCUCCUUCCCCGACCGGCGCCAGCCCCCUUCCCCAACUCGUCACCGGCCCCAGAUAGAGCCCACAGAUAUUGGAAACCUUCCUCCUAGGUUUGAUUCAAGUACAAGCCACAGCGUGUAAGUGUUGGGAAGGCUUCUUUUGCUUUAUGACUAUUGACACAAAAAUCAAUACACUGGAAUCUGAAGGCACCGUUCACCAAGUUUCAGAAAGUAGACCAAGCGUGCUAGUCAAUUUGACCUGCAAUUGACAAGAGAUCGGUAAACAUUAGAUUUGAGAGUGUAUUGGCUAGAUUUCCGAAUAACUCUCGCACAGGCGUAUCGGCAAGCUCCGCCGAUAAGGAAAAUGACAAAAGGGUAUUUAAUGCAAAAAGCGCAAACGAGAGCAAUAUCGGCAGAUCCUGUUGAUAUAGAAAAAGACAGAUCGACCCGAACAGCUGAUCGCGUGUAUGUAACAGUAUGAAAGCUACGAAUGUGUAACUUAAAUAAAACUACUCACUUUAAACA